rnacentral:tRNA from 1 species
AGGAUUAUAGUUUAUAAAAACAUUUGAUUUGCAUUCAAAAAUUAUUGAUUAUCAAUUUAUCUUA